CAGACCAAAGGUUGGUGGUUAGGAUGCGGUCUUCAGGAACCCAAUGAGCAUACACAUCCUUCAAUGCUUGGAUUGCCUUCUGGCCUUCUGGGGUUUCCCUCCCUCCAAUGAGGACACGAUCAGGUUGAAACAGAUCACCGAUUGCAGUUCCUUCUGCAAGGAACUCAGGGUUUGAGAGGAUCUGGAAUUUGAUCCCCUUACUGUUGUGGGUCAAGAUCUUUUCAAUUGCCUCGGCAGUUUUA
rnacentral:lncRNA from 1 species